rnacentral:rRNA from 1 species
GCAGAGCAUCCUACGGGAGGCAGCAGUGGGGAAUAUUGCACAAUGGGCGCAAGCCUGAUGCAGCCAUGCCGCGUGUAUGAAGUAAGGCCUUCGGGUUGUAAAGUACUUUCAGCAGUGAGGAAGUGGGUAUGUUAAUAGCAUAUUCAUUUGACGUUAGCUGCAGAAGAAGCACCGGCUAACUCCGUGCCAGCAGCCGCGGUAAUACGGAGGGUGCGAGCGUUAAUCGGAAUUACUGGGCGUAAAGCGCAUGCAGGUGGUUUGUUAAGUCAGAUGUGAAAGCCCGGGGCUCAACCUCGGAAUUGCAUUUGAAACUGGCAAACUAGAGUACUGUAGAGGGGGUAGAAUUUCAGGUGUAGCGGUGAAAUGCGUAGAGAUCUGAAGGAAUACCGGUGGCGAAGGCGGCCCCCUGGACAGAUACUGACACUCAGAUGCGAAAGCGUGGGGAGCAAACAGGAUUAUAUACCCUGGCAG